GCUGGCGUCUUCGGCGUCCGCAUUGUAAUCUCAAGAAGUGUUUUCCGCUUCGGACCAUGCCUAAGUCCCUUGGAAAAGGGCAUCAUAGAGGGUGAUAAUCCCGUACAUGGCAUGGAGCGCCCGAAGCUUUGUGAUACGCUUUCUAAGAGUCGAGUUGUUUGGGAAUGCAGCUCAAAAUGGGUGGUAAAUGCCGUCUAAGGCUAAAUAUUGGGGAGAGACCGAUAGCGAACAAGUACAGUGAUGGAAAGAUGAAAAGAACUUUGAAAAGAGAGUUAAACAGUACGUGAAAUUGCCAAAAGGGAAGGGUAGGAGGUCAGAGAUGCGGCCUGGGAUUCAGCCUUGCUUUUGCUUGGUGUUUUUCCCAGAUUGCAGGCCAACGUCGGUUUUGGGCACUGGAGAAGGGUAGGAGGAACGUGGCACCUCUCGGGGUGUGUUAUAGCCUCCUACUGGAUACAGCGACCGAGACCGAGGACAGCAGCGUACUCGCAAGAGCGGGCCUUCGGGCACCUUUACGCUUAGGGCGUUGGCAUAAUGGCCCUCUACCACCCGUCUUGAACCACGGAC
rnacentral:rRNA from 1 species